rnacentral:rRNA from 1 species
GACGAACGCUGGCGGCGUGCUUAACACAUGCAAGUCGAACGGAAAGGCCCUGCUUUUGUGGGUUUCUCGAGUGCCGAACGGGGGAGUAACACGUGAGUAACCUGCCCUUGACUUUGGGAUAACUCCACGAAACUCGGGCUAAUACCGGAGAGAAGCUCCUGCUCCAUGUGGGGGGUUGGAAAGUUUCGGCGGUGGGGGCUGGACUCGCGGCUUAUCCGCUUGUUGGUGUGGUAGUGGCUUACCAGGGGUUUGACGGGUAGCCGGCCUGAGAGGGUGACCGGCCACAUUGGGACUGCGAUACGGCCCAGACUCCUACGGGAGGCAGUAGUGGGGAAUAUUGCACAAUGGGCGGAAGCCUGAUGCAGAAACGCCGCGUGCGGGAUGACGGCCUUCGGGUUGUAAACAGCUUUCGCCUGUGACGAAGCGUGAGUGACGGUAAUGGGUAAAGAAGCACCGGCUAACUACGUG